AUGGCACCAAAGCUAAACGGGAGCAAGGGUGAUGCUAGGGGUAUGGGAAGACUUGUUCUGAAGCAACAUGUCUACAAGGCUAGUGUUAUAGAUGAAUUGCAUUUGCCUGAAGUUGUUAGUCAUGUCAAUCAUCAAGAUAUUACAGGCCGCAAGUGUGAGCUGAACUGGUCUGGUUUAGUUGCAGUCUCAACUAGGAGUGUAGGGUACGAAGCGCAACUACUCUCAACAAUGAAACAGAAACAUAUAUAG